CAGCAGCCGCGGUAAUACGUAGGGUGCGAGCGUUAAUCGGAAUUACUGGGCGUAAAGCGUGCGCAGGCGGUUUUGUAAGACAGGCGUGAAAUCCCCGGGCUCAACCUGGGAAUGGCGCUUGUGACUGCUAAACUAGAGUGCGGCAGAGGGGGAUGGAAUUCCGCGUGUAGCAGUGAAAUGCGUAGAUAUGCGGAGGAACACCGAUGGCGAAGGCAAUCCCCUGGGCCUGCACUGACGCUCAUGCACGAAAGCGUGGGGAGCAAACAGGAUUAGAUACCCCGGUAGUCCCUGUCUCUUAUAC
rnacentral:rRNA from 1 species